GACGAACGCUGGCGGCGUGCUUAACACAUGCAAGUCGAACGGAAAGGCCCUGCUUUUGUGGGGUGCUCGAGUGGCGAACGGGUGAGUAACACGUGAGUAACCUGCCCUUGACUUUGGGAUAACUUCAGGAAACUGGGGCUAAUACCGGAUAGGAGCUCCUGCUGCAUGGUGGGGUUGGAAAGUUUCGGCGGUUGGGGAUGGACUCGCGGCUUAUCAGCUUGUUGGUGGGGUAGUGGCUUACCAAGGCUUUGACGGGUAGCCGGCCUGAGAGGGUGACCGGCCACAUUGGGACUGAGAUACGGCCCAGACUCCUACGGGAGGCAGCAGUGGGGAAUAUUGCACAAUGGGCGGAAGCCUGAUGCAGCAAUGCCGCGUGCGGGAUGACGGCCUUCGGGUUGUAAACCGCUUUCGCCUGUGACGAAGCGUGAGUGGCGGUAAUGGGUAAAGAAGCACCGGCUAACUACGUG
rnacentral:rRNA from 1 species